rnacentral:lncRNA from 1 species
GAAGACUUAGGGGAAUCCUCUGAGUUGGGCAUUUGGACGUGCUCUGGAGAAGAGAGAGCGUGUCUUGUGGGACUCACUGGGAAGCUGUGCACAGCUGCAGACCAGAAAGCCACCAGUCACACUAUCUCUGGGAAGGAAUCGGGGACAGGUCGGCACUGGAAGGAACAUCUUUGCUGGUCCAUCAUUUUAGCUUGGAUCCCCACUCCCACCUGAGCCUGCUCUGGUGACCUGUUCAGCUGAGGUCCUGCUCCCUCUGAGGGUCCUGAUGAGAUAGCCGCUCGCACAUAUGUGCUGUGGUCCCGUGGUCCCGUGGUCCCGUGGUCUCGUGGUCCCCUGGUCGCGUGGUCCCCCUGGUUGCGUGGUCCCGUGGUUCCGUGGUCCCCUGGUCCUGUGGCUCCGGGAGAGAUGCUCUGACUUAUCCUCAUGACUGUCAAGAAGCUGGUGGCAGUCUCAACAUCCACGUUUCCAGAUUUAGCAUUCAGGGUGAGGGACAAUGUGUAACUGAAGCCUGUCCUUCCUCUGGAAGUUACCUACCGGUCAGGAGAAAGCUGCAUUCUCCACGGUCCCGGAAGUCUGUCUGGGUCUGGAUUCCAGCAGAGCAACCUUGUUUGCCAGGAUCCUGGCCCCUGGAUGACAUUUGAUUACCUAUUUAGAAACUGGAUUCUAGGAGUUAAAGGAAUUUUUGGAUGUAGCAAAAUUUGAGAUUUGCGUCCUCAGCAAUGUUCUGGGCUCUGAUUGGGAACCCGGGAUGUGGGAGACUCGUCUCUGCAGUCUGUACCUUGCUCUGUUCUAGAGUUCACAUUGUGAUCUGCGUGUAUACCAUCCCUCGAGUUGCCCAGUAUACAACCUGAACAGCCACACACAAGAGGCUCUCAGCAUCCAUGGCAACCUGUGCAGGAACUGCAAGAUGCUGCAACGAGCCAGGUGCCAGGGCAACUGAAAA